GACGAACGCUGGCGGCGUGCUUAACACAUGCAAGUCGAACGGUGAAGCGCCUUCCUUUUUGGUGGGUGUGGAUGAGUGGCGAACGGGUGAGUAACACGUGAGUAACCUGCCCCCUUCUUCUGGAUAACCGCAUGAAAGUGUGGCUAAUACGGGAUAUUCUGGGUCUGUCGCAUGAUGGGUCUGGGAAAGAUAUUGUUUCGGUGGGGGAUGGGCUCGCGGCCUAUCAGCUUGUUGGUGGGGUGAUGGCCUACCAAGGCGGUGACGGGUAGCCGGCCUGAGAGGGUGGACGGUCACACUGGGACUGAGAGACGGCCAAGACUCCUACGGGAGGCAGCAGUGGGGAAUAUUGCACAAUGGGAGCAAGGCUGAUGCAGCGACGCCGCGUGAGGGAUGGAGGCCUUCGGGUUGUGAACCUCUUUCGCCAGUGAAGCAGGCCUGCCUCGUUUGUGGGUGGGUUGACGGUAGCUGGAUAAGAAGCGCCGGCUAACUACGUG
rnacentral:rRNA from 1 species